AAUAAGAUACCCGGGUAGUCCACGCCGUAAACGAUGAGUGCUAAGUGUUAGAGGGUUUCCGCCCUUUAGUGCUGCAGCUAACGCAUUAAGCACUCCGCCUGGGGAGUACGGUCGCAAGACUGAAACUCAAAGGAAUUGACGGGGGCCCGCACAAGCGGUGGAGCAUGUGGUUUAAUUCGAAACAACGCGAAGAACCUUACCAGGUCUUGACAUCCCACUGACCGGUAUAGAGAUAUACCUUUCCCUUCGGGGACAGUGGUGACAGGUGGUGCAUGGUUGUCGUCAGCUCGUGUCGUGAGAUGUUGGGUUAAGUCCCGCAACGAGCGCAACCCUUGAUCUUAGUUGCCAGCAUUUAGUUGGGCACUCUAAGGUGACUGCCGGUGACAAACCGGAGGAAGGUGGGGAUGACGUCAAAUCAUCAUGCCCCUUAUGACCUGGGCUACACACGUGCUACAAUGGAUGGUACAAAGGGCUGCAAGACUGCGAAGUCAAGCCAAUCCCAUAAAACCAUUCUCAGUUCGGAUUGCAGGCUG
rnacentral:rRNA from 1 species